rnacentral:rRNA from 1 species
UACGGGAAGGGCAAGCGUUAUCCGGCGUGACUGGGCGUAAAAGAGUCCGUAGACGGUAAAGUAAGUUUAUUGUUAAAUUUUAAAAACUUAAUUUUAAAGAAAGCAAUAAAUACUGCUUUACUUUGAGUUUAAUAUAGAAAAGUGGAAUUUUAUAUGGUAGGGGUGAAAAUCGUAGAUAUAUAAAGGAAUGCCAACAGCGAAGGCAACUUUUGGUAUAA